rnacentral:tRNA from 1 species
CCUUAGCUAAAUUGGAUAAGGCAACGGCCUUCUAAGCCGAAAAUUACAGGUUCGAGUC